rnacentral:lncRNA from 1 species
AUAAUAUUUUAAUUUCUGUAAUGUCACUGUUUUUCUUUUUCUUCCUCUCAGCUGUGCAUCGUGUUUUUCCUUUCAUAGCUAAUCCACAAGGGUUUUAACCAUGUACUGCAGAGAUACUAUGUAGAGCUAUUUCGUGACCUGCUACGUGACAAGGGGCCCACAAUGAAGACACUGUUUUCUGAGCUGUUUCAGUGCUAAUUCCAUACAGAUGUGCAAGAGAUGAGGCAAAGAUGCUUGUGUUUGAAUUUCUGCUAAAAGGUGCCUUUUCCCAGGUGGCUGCCAUCAGCUUGCCCUUCAUGGAGCAUUGUCUUAUGGGAUUGUGGAAAAAGAGAGGCAAACAGCUUGCUCUGAAGCACCCAGGG